rnacentral:rRNA from 1 species
AGUGAACGCUGGCGGUAGGCCUAACACAUGCAAGUCGAACGGCAGCACAGUAAGAGCUUGCUCUUACGGGUGGCGAGUGGCGGACGGGUGAGGAAUACAUCGGAAUCUACUUUUUCGUGGGGGAUAACGUAGGGAAACUUACGCUAAUACCGCAUACGAUCUACGGGUGAAAGCAGGGGAUCUUCGGACCUUGCGCGAUUGAAUGAGCCGAUGUCGGAUUAGCUAGUUGGCGGGGUAAAGGCCCACCAAGGCGACGAUCCGUAGCUGGUCUGAGAGGAUGAUCAGCCACACUGGAACUGAGAAACGGUCCAGACUCCUACGGGAGGCAGCAGUGGGGAAUAUUGGACAAUGGGCGCAAGCCUGAUCCAGCCAUACCGCGUGGGUGAAGAAGGCCUUCGGGUUAUAAAGCCCUUUUGUUGGGAAAGAAAAGCAGCAGGUUAAUACCCCGCUGUUCUGACGGUACCCAAAGAAUAAGCACCGGCUAACUUCGUG